AUUGAACGCUGGCGGCAGGCCUAACACAUGCAAGUCGAGCGGAGCGACGGACGGGUGCGUAAUGCAUAGGAAACUGCCUGGCCGUGGGGGCUAACGUCCGGAAGCGGACGGUAAAACCUUCCAUUAUCCGCUGAACCUAGGUCGAAUUAGCGAGUUGGUGGGGUAAAGGCCUACCAAGGCGACGAUCCGUAACUGGUCUGAGAGGAUGCUCAGUCACACUGGACCUGAGACACGGUCCAGACUCCUACGGGAGGCAGCAGUGGGGAAUAUUGGACAAUGGGCGAAAGCCUGAUCCAGCCAUGCCGCGUGUGUGAAGAAGGUCUUCGGAUUGUAAAGCACUUUAAGUUGGGAGGCGUUACCAACAGAAUAAGCACCGGCUAACUUCGUGCCAGCAGCCGCGGUAAUAC
rnacentral:rRNA from 1 species